AGGCUGCUAGGCAGCAAGGUCAGGCACCUCGUCCCACCAGGCACCGCGGCAGAGCGGCAGGCCCCUAGUCCAGAGCCCGCGACCGAAAACCGGAAGUGCUGGACCUUCCCACAGUGCCUCGGGAGAAUUCUAACCGCCUCUGCUCUUUCCGCUGCUGCCGACAGAUGAGGAUGCCUGUGGCGACCACAGCGGUAGCAAUGAUGGCAGCGAUGAUGCCCCCAAUGAUGCCACCCGUGGCCCCUGCGCCUGCUGUGUUGGGGGUCUCUGCAAGAAGAGGGACAGUGUCAGGGGGUCUCCAGGAGGAAGCCACAGCUUCUUAUUCUCUAAGUCAUCACCCACCUGCCUGCCUCCUCUCCCUGGUUCUUACUGAGCAUUUGUUGCGUGCCAGCAUCAAAUAAAACAUCUGCAAGUCCCUGU